rnacentral:rRNA from 1 species
GAUGAACGCUGGCGGCAGGCCUAACACAUGCAAGUCGAGCGGCAGCGGGACCUUCGGGUUGCCGGCGAGCGGCGGACGGGUGAGUAAUGCCUAGGAAUCUGCCUGUUAGUGGGGGAUAACGCGGGGAAACUCGCGCUAAUACCGCAUACGUCUUACGGGAGAAAGCGGGGGCUCUUCGGACCUCGCGCUAACAGAUGAGCCUAAGUAGGAUUAGCUAGUUGGUGGGGUAAAGGUCCAACAAGGCGACGAUCCGUAACUGGUCUGAGAGGAUGAUCAGUCACACUGGAACUGAGACACGGUCCAGACUCCUACGGGAGGCAGCAGUGGGGAAUAUUGGACAAUGGGCGAAAGCCUGAUCCAGCCAUGCCGCGUGUGUGAAGAAGGUCUUCGGAUUGUAAAGCACUUUAAGUCGGGAGGAAGGGCUGUAGGCUAAUACCUUGCAGUUUUGACGUUACCGACAGAAUAAGCACCGGCUAACUUCGUGCCAGCCGCCGCCGUAA